UUCCUGUACAAAUUAAACCAGCAUUUCUUUUACUUUUCAAACUUGCCCCUUUCUAAACGUAAUACUACAAAUGCUACUGAAAAAGACUAAAAACAAAAUUCUAUCCUCCUAAAACAGCUAAUCAAUUAAAAAAAAAAGGCAUUUGCUGCUGUGCUGAGACACUUCCCACUAAUUCCAUACCUAAUAUCCAGCA